rnacentral:rRNA from 1 species
AGCUGAUCAUUGGGUUUAAAGCGUGCGCAGGCGGUUUUGUAAGACAGAGGUGAAAUCCCCGGGCUCAACCUGGGAACUGCCUUUGUGACUGCAAGGCUGGAGUGCGGCAGAGGGGAUGGAAUUCCGCGUGUAGCAGUGAAAUGCGUAGAUAUGCGGAGGAACACCGAUGGCGAAGGCAAUCCCCUGGGCCUGCACUGACGCUCAUGCACGAAAGCGUGGGGAGCAAACA